rnacentral:rRNA from 1 species
GACGAACCGUGCAAACGUUAUUCGGAAUCACUGGGCAUAAAGGGCGCGUAGGCGGCUUUCUAAGUCAGGGGUGAAAUCCGGCAGCUCAACUGUCGCAGUGCCUUUGAUACUGGAGAGCUCGAGGGAGGUAGGGGUCUGUGGAACUUCCGGUGGAGCGGUGAAAUGCGUUGAUAUCAGCAGGAACACCGGUGGCGAAAGCGGCUUACUGGGUCUCUUCUGACGCUGAGGUGCGAAAGCCAGGGGAGCGAAGGGG